ensembl:lncRNA
AGGAAAGGAGGGGAGAAGGAAGGAGGGAGAGUAGAAAUAACCAACUGAGCAAUAGAGGACGUUUGACAUAUAAUUUCCUUCUAUACUUUGAGCCUGAUCUUUUCUCUCCCUCUCACACUUCCCUCUCUCUCUCUCUCUCUCUCUCUCUCUCUCUCUCUCUCUCUCUUCUUCUUCUUUCUUCUUCUAUCGGUAAGUCUUACACCACUACUUUGAUAGAGGGAUAGAAAGGGACGAGUAAAUGAUAUGUCUCUGAGAGCUGACAGCUCAAGGAACACAGAUGCAGAGUUGUUUCGCUUUUCUUCUCUCUGCAGUUGUCAACGGCUGCAUUUGCAUAUUUCUAAAGUCUACCAAAGAAAAUAGCCUGCAGCUAGAGUAACCUAGCCACUGUGCAUAUUGGAGACAGAAACAGAGAGGGAGAGGGAGGGAGUGCAGACAGUGAAAGACCAAACCAGGGAAGACAGGACCUGGAAAGUGAGAGAGAGUGAAAGAAAAGGUUGGAUGGAGCAUGGGAUCUGGGACAAUCCUGCUGCCCUCGUGGACUGGAGUUUAUAGUGCACCUCUUCUCUGCAGCCCUGAGUACAGAGAUAGACAGGGAGAGAUAGAGCAAAUGAGAGAAAAUAGGGAGAGAGAGGGGGAAAGGAAAAGACAGAGAGAGAGAGAGAGAGAGAGAGUGCAAAAUAAAAGAGAGAGAGAGAGAAAGAGAGAGAGAGAGGGAGCAAAAGCGAGUGAGAGAGCAAAAGAGAGAAGAGAAUGAGAGUAAAAAGAGAGAGAACAGAGGGAGAGAGGGCUAAAAUAUGUGCAUCAUAAGGACUCUUCAGCUUCCUUCAUGAAUAUCAAACAGUCGACCCUGGCCUGUUCCAUGCUGCGUCAACACAACACAUGAGAAACAUUACUGCUCUCCUCCCUUUGUACACACACAGCAAUAUGCAUAGAGUUGGUUCUCCUGACCACACCACCUGACCUGAUCAGGGAGGACUCUGGACCCUGGUUAGAGGCUAUAGGUCUCCUGGUCAGGGACGACUCUGGACCCUGGUUAUGGGCUAUAUGUCUCCUGGUCAGGGAGGACUCUGGACCCUGGUUAGAGGCUAUAGGUCUCCUGGUCAGGGAGGACUCUGGACCCUGGUUAGAGGCUAUAGGUCUCCUGGUCAGGGAGGACUCUGGACCCUGGUUAUGGGCUAUAUGUCUCCUGGUCAGGGAGGACUCUGGACCCUGGUUAUGGGCUAUAUGUCUCCUGGUCAGGGAGGACUCUGGACCCUGUUUAGAGGCUAUAGGUCUACUGGUCAGGGAGGACUCUGGACCCUGGUUCGAGGAUAUAGGUCUACUGGUCAGGGACGACUCUGGACCCUGGUUAUGGGCUAUAAGUCUCCUGAUGAGCGAAAACUCCUGGCCCUGUAUAUGUGUGAUGAGAGGGGUACCGAAGGCUAUUAUAGAGUGUGUCGGUGGUGUUCGCAUCAUGGCUACAUCAUCAUCAAUCAUUUAACAAAGGUCAUUAAACCAUUAUUAUUCUGUUUUGUCAACAGCCAUGAUACCAUGAUGAUGCAUGUUGCAUCCCUUACAGAAAAAACAUUUGUUUGGAAACCUUCACGUGAUCACGUUUUCACAUUUGUGGUUUCAUGUUGUCGCUUGUUGCUUUACACUUUGUAAGAAACCUCCUCUCUACCUAACCAAAGACAGUACAGUGUGAAGAUAGGCAGAAAUUGCUUCUCCAUUCGUAAACCCUGAUCACACUUGAACUCAUUGCGGCGUUGGCUGGCUAAGCUCAUGAGCAGAAACACGUCAUCGGGUGUAACGGUCGUCUCGUGCCGAACUGCCAUUGUGCAGGCCGUCAACUCAAAGGCCCUCCAUCAAUAUAAAGUUGUUUUUGACGAAAAUCAAAACGUGUCAGUUUGUCACUUUCAGGAGGUUGGGUGCGAUGUUUCAGUUUCAAUGACUCAAUAUUUUGGACAAAUACAGCCUACUGUAUGCUCUCGUUGGCUGGCCCUCACUUCAUACUCGUCACCAAACCCACUGGCUCCAGGUCAUCCACAAGACCCUGCUAGGUAAAGUCCCCCCUUAUCUCAGCUCACUGGUCACCAUAGCAUCACCCACCUGUAGCACACGCUCCAGCAGGUAUAUCUCUCUAGUCACCCCCAAAACCAAUUCUUUCUUUGGCCGCCUCUCCUUCCAGUUCUCUGCUGCCAAUGACUGGAACGAACUGCAAAAAUCUCUGAAACUGGAAACACAUAUCUCCCUCACUAGCUUUAAGCACCAGCUGUCAGAGCAGCUCACAGAUUACUGCACCUGUACAUAGCCCAUCUAUAAUUUAGCCCAAACAACUACCUCUUGCCCUACUAUAUUUAUUUUGCUCCUUUGCACCCCAUUAUUUCUAUCUCUACUUUGCACAUUCUUCCACUGCAAAAUCUACCAUUCCAGUGUUUUACUUGCUAUAUUGUAUUUACUUCGCCACCAAGGCCUUUUUUUUGCCUUUACCUCCCUUAUCUCACCUCAUUUGCUCACAUCGUAUAUAGACUUAUUUUUCUACUGUAUUAUUGACUAAAUGUUUGUUUUAUUCCAUGUGUAACUCUGUUGUUGUAUGUGUCGAACUGCUUUGCUUUAUCUUGGUCAGGUCGCAAUUGUAAGUGAGAACUUGUUCUCAACUUGCCUACCUGGUUAAAUAAAUAAAGGUGAAAUAAAAAAUAUAUACAUUUAAAAAGGCUGGGAAUUUCAAUACAAUCAAACUGGCAAGGACAAUGAUCACAAAUCAGUCAAAACCUGGCGAAUAGAGUAGCAGAUCUAUUUAUGUAGCUAUUUGUUUAGGAAGUUGAAAACACAUUAUCAACAGAUGUAUAUCAACAGAUUUUCAUUGGAUUUCAUGUUGCUAAAAUGCUGUCAGAUCCACUUUAGACAGUGUCUCAGAUCUAGGUUGUGCCUUUAGAUUUAGAGAAAAUGAAUAGCAAAGAAGGUGUCUUCACUUCUCUCAUUGAUUUAUCAAACCCCUGUCUGGUCUGUAGGGUCUGCUUCCCAAGCGCAAGAGAAUCGCGAUGUUGCGUCUCUGGGUUAAGAAACUCUGUGACCUAACCUUCCAUCACAGUCGCCUUAGUUCCCCCGCGGUCCCGAUAGCGUGAUAUUUCAAUUCAAUUCAUUUCAAUUCAAGGGCCUUUAUUGUCAUGGGAAACGUGUUAACAUUGCCAAAGCAAUGUCACCAUCUCAGCUGUCCAUCAAAGCCCUUUAGCUUCAGCCAAUCAGUGUGCCCACAUGCACAUCUGGACUUGGACCCCUCCCACCCCAUGUCAGAGUGUUUUAGUCCGAGGAAGAGGAAAGUUUUGGCCUGGAAGAUUGUGCGUACAUCUAAGAAAAAAGUACAUUCCUAUUGUAACCGAAGAUCCUGCAUGUGUGUGUUAAUUAUGUGUGGUGGUGAUGAAGAAAAAUACAAGUCUUGGACUGUUCCUGACAGAUAGCAUGUAGCGAGUCAGAACAUCUAGAAACAAGCAUGAAGUAAGCCUACAUCUACAAGCAUUAAGUAGGCCUACAUCUACAAGCAUUAAGUAGACCUACAUCUACAAGCCUUAAGUAGGCCUACAUCUACAAGCAUUAAGUAGGCCUACAUCUACAAGCAUUAAGUAGAC